rnacentral:misc_RNA from 1 species
GUGCAUCGAACUGCUGACGCUCUAUCCCCUUCAGUCCUUCCCCAAGAGAUACUUCUCCUUGUGGGUUUAUGAGRUAUCCUGUGUUGCUUACCAAUGGAAUGGAAAUUGAUGGCUUAGUUACAUGCAUCCACCUUGUUCCCUUACGGGAUUGAGGUGGACGUGGGGUGAGCAUUGUGUUCCUUGUAUGGCAAUCGUUUUGGYAUUGGCAUGCUUGGCCCAUGGUGUCUUCGCUUGUUCUCUUGGAUGCGGAAUGCUACGUGUGGGCGUGUGAGGUCUUGGCCUUGACUCGUCCAAACACUAUCUUUAGCUCAAAUGACAGCUGCACCUGUCUUGAUCUUCCCGACCGAGGCCUCGUAAUGGGGCUUACCGGAUGAGGGCUGAACAUGCUGGUGUGGUGUCAAAGAGGAAAGU